rnacentral:rRNA from 1 species
GACGAACCGUCCAAAACGUUAUUCGGAAUCACUGGGCUUAAAGGGUGCGUAGGCGGCCCGGCAAGUUGGAUGUGAAAGCCCUCGGCUCAACCGAGGAAUGGCGUUCAAAACUGCCGGGCUAGAGGGAGGCAGAAGUGAGCGGAACUUAGGGUGGAGCGGUGAAAUGCGUUGAUAUCCUAAGGAACACCAGUAGCGAAAGCGGCUCACUGGGCCUCUUCUGACGCUCAGGCACGAAAGCCAGGGGAGCGAACGGGAUUAGAUACCCCGGUA